rnacentral:rRNA from 1 species
UCCGGAAAAUCAAGGCUGAGGCGUGAUGACGAGGCACUACGGUGCUGAAGCAACAAAUGCCCUGCUUCCAGGAAAAGCCUCUAAGCAUCAGGUAACAUCAAAUCGUACCCCAAACCGACACAGGUGGUCAGGUAGAGAAUACCAAGGCGCUUGAGAGAACUCGGGUGAAGGAACUAGGCAAAAUGGUGCCGUAACUUCGGGAGAAGGCACGCUGAUAUGUAGGUGAAGUCCCUCGCGGAUGGAGCUGAAAUCAGUCGAAGAUACCAGCUGGCUGCAACUGUUUAUUAAAAACACAGCACUGUGCAAACACGAAAGUGGACGUAUACGGUGUGACGCCUGCCCGGUGCCGGAAGGUUAAUUGAUGGGGUUAGCGCAAGCGAAGCUCUUGAUCGAAGCCCCGGUAAACGGCGGCCGUAACUAUAACGGUCCUAAGGUAGCGAAAUUCCUUGUCGGGUAAGUUCCGACCUGCACGAAUGGCGUAAUGAUGGCCAGGCUGUCUCCACCCGAGACUCAGUGAAAUUGAACUCGCUGUGAAGAUGCAGUGUACCCGCGGCAAGACGGAAAGACCCCGUGAACCUUUACUAUAGCUUGACACUGAACAUUGAGCCUUGAUGUGUAGGAUAGGUGGGAGGCUUUGAAGUGUGGACGCCAGUCUGCAUGGAGCCGACCUUGAAAUACCACCCUUUAAUGUUUGAUGUUCUAACGUUGACCCGUAAUCCGGGUUGCGGACAGUGUCUGGUGGGUAGUUUGACUGGGGCGGUCUCCUCCUAAAGAGUAACGGAGGAGCACGAAGGUUGGCUAAUCCUGGUCGGACAUCAGGAGGUUAGUGCAAUGGCAUAAGCCAGCUUGACUGCGAGCGUGACGGCGCGAGCAGGUGCGAAAGCAGGUCAUAGUGAUCCGGUGGUUCUGAAUGGAAGGGCCAUCGCUCAACGGAUAAAAGGUACUCCGGGGAUAACAGGCUGAUACCGCCCAAGAGUUCAUAUCGACGGCGGUGUUUGGCACCUCGAUGUCGGCUCAUCACAUCCUGGGGCUGAAGUAGGUCCCAAGGGUAUGGCUGUUCGCCAUUUAAAGUGGUACGCGAGCUGGGUUUAGAACGUCGUGAGACAGUUCGGUCCCUAUCUGCCGUGGGCGCUGGAGAACUGAGGGGGGCUGCUCCUAGUACGAGAGGACCGGAGUGGACGCAUCACUGGUGUUCGGGUUGUCAUGCCAAUGGCACUGCCCGGUAGCUAAAUGCGGAAGAGAUAAGUGCUGAAAGC